rnacentral:lncRNA from 1 species
AGCAGCACAGCGUGCGCCCUUGCAUAGUAACAGGCUAUGUUCUGUGAUUUCGUCUUUCCACCAGAACAAAGCAUUUGUCUCAUCAUUCAUUGAUGUCAUUGUGAGAUACUGGUAAACCAUUUUAACCUUUGGACCUUGUUGCAACUAAAGGACCAGCUACUAGAGUCUUAGGCUGAAAAGACAGAUUUUCAAAGAGGAACUGGCAGUGACGCUUUACAGAAGGUAUCAAUAUCAUCUACCAUCAUCAGAGAUUAAGUUGUAUUAUCUAGGGAAAAGUGUAAACCACAAUUCAUUAUGUUCUAAGAUAAAGAACUGGAAGAUGUUGAAUAGAGGAAUUUGAGAAAAACCCAAGACAGAUGUUGAGAGUGUAGGCA